UACGUAGGUGGCAAAGCGAUACUCGGAAUCACUAGCGUAAAGCGCAGGUAGGAGGUUUGGAAAAGUCUCUUGUGAAAGCUCCCCGGCUCAACUGGGAGAGGUCAAGGGAAACUACCAGGCUAGAGUGCGGUAGAGGUAGCUGGAAUUCCCGGUGUAGCGGUGAAAUGCGUAGAUAUCGGGAGGAAUACCUAUGGCGAAAAGCAGGCUACUGGACCGUCACUGACUCUGGAUCUGCGAAAGCUAGGGGAGCAAACAGG
rnacentral:rRNA from 1 species